UGUACACGCUGUGACUAGCAUAUCAAUAAGCGGAGGAAAAGAAACUAACAAGGAUUCCCCUAGUAACGGCGAGUGAAGCGGGAAGAGCUCAAAUUUGAAAUCUUAAAGGGGUUCCCUUUACGAAUUGUAGUUUAAAGAAGUGUUUUCUGUUGAGGUUUUGGUAAAAGUUCUUUGGAAUAGGACAUCAUAGAGGGUGAGAAUCCCGUAUUUGACCUUUACUUUCAACUUUGUGAUACACUUUCAAAGAAUCGGAUUGUUUGGGAAUGCAGUCCAAAAUGGGUGGUAAAUUUCAUCUAAAGCUAAAUAUUGGCGAGAGACCGAUAGCGAACAAGUACCGUGAGGGAUAGAUGAAAAGAACUUUGAAAAGAGAGUUAAACAGUACGUGAAAUUUGUCAAAAGGGAAGCGUUUGACACCAGUGUUGUUUUUCUGAAAAUCAAUUAAAGAACUGUUUAUGCUAAGCUGUUUAGACUUUAUCAGCUAUACUGUUUAGUUUUCGAGCUUUUCUUUAAUGCACUUUUCAGUUAACAAGUCAACAUCAAUUUCUUUUGCUGUAAAAAAGCUUGAGGAAGGUGGCUUGAGAUUCGUCUUAAGUGUUUAUAGCCUCUUGCCUAUGCAGUCGGAGAGAUUGAGGUCUGCAGCGUAGAUCCUUCGGGGCUAAAUGCAUUUGUGCUAAGUUAUAGCAUUUUAUAGACAACUUGUUGACUAUGAUUUGUCUUGUAGCUUACUCGCUUAUGUUAUUUUACCUACGCUUAGGAUGUUGAGUCGUAGAGCACGCAG
rnacentral:rRNA from 1 species